GUGCAGCAGUCGAGAAUCCUUCGCAAUGCGGGAAACCGCGACGAGGGACUCCCAGUGCCUACGCUCAGCGUAGGCUGUUCCCGAGCCUAGAAAGCUCGGGGAGUAAGGGCUGGGUAAGACGGGUGCCAGCCGCCGCGGUAAUACCCGCAGCCCGAGUGGUGGCCACUAUUAUUGGGCCUAAAGCGUCCGUAGCCGGCCCGGUAAAUGCCUGGGUAAAUCGUGAGGCCUAACCUCACGAAUUCCGGGUAGACUGCCGGGCUAGGGGACCGGAGGAGGGAGAGGGGUACUCCAGGGGUAGGGGUGAAAUCCUGUAAUCCCUGGAGGACCACCGGUGGCGAAGGCGCUCUCCUAGGACGGGCCCGACGGUGAGGGACGAAAGCCAGGGGAGCGAACCGGAUUAGAUACCCGCGUAGU
rnacentral:rRNA from 1 species